rnacentral:lncRNA from 10 species
CUAGCAGUCUUCAUCGCUUUGUGGUAUCUAUGUGAACAGUUGUGUCCUCGCUAAGAGAGUGUCCAAUUACACGCACGGCAGGGAAAAGCAAGAGAUCAGCAGUUGACUAUGCUUUUGUCUAAGGACAGGUAAAUGGAUGCCAAGACAACAGAGAAACAGGAAUCUUUUUGUGUAGUUAUAUAUUAAUUUGUUUGCAAUAUUGGCUUGCAAAUAGAAGGCCAGAGAGAGAUCCAGCACCACAGGGAUUCAAAUCUCCGUUGACAAGUGUUUAUAAAUGACUCGCAACCAGAACAUAUAUGUGGAAUCAGCACACAAAACUGGCAAGAGCACUGGUUCCGCUGCAGAAAUUACACACAAGAGGAGCUCUUUCUGUGUGCUUUCAUGCAUCAGUCUAGAGCCAGUUCUUCCUCAUUCACAUUGAAACGUCAGGUUCGGCCUGAAUAAUGUUUCCAUGCGGGCCUAAAAACUUCUGCAAAAAUUCGAUGGAAGUAAAAAUCACACAAGACCUCAUCACACUCCUCCAUGUGAUCUCAAUAUUUUUAAAGAAAAUAUUUAUAUACGUUUUAUUUAUAAACCACUAUUCUAAGACUUAUAAGUCUAUAAAGCUUCCAUUUGGGCAAAAAUGUAAUCUCCCAAGAUAUAGCAGCUCUCUAAGCUAAAAAUAAGAGAGAAUAUUUUUGAAGAGACAAGAGUCUCAGGUUCCUUGUGAGGGAACUCAAAAUAUUUCACCCCAAAAUAUGGCAAUCUGAGUGUUUUAAGUUAAAACCUCAUAGAGAUCAAUAAGCACUGGAGGAGAGUUUUCCCCUAUCAACAGAAAGACAGGACUGACUCACCCAGGAGAACAAUUGUUCUUGUUCCCCUCCCUGGUAUCUCAUUAUUCACUACAGGAAAGAAGACCAAA